ensembl:lncRNA
UAGGAUGACGAGAAAACUAAAAGAGAUGCCAGUGAAAGAACAAAAUACAGCUGAACAAAAAGAAAAGAGGACAAAGGAAAGUGCACUGAGAGGCAAAGCCGAACCUACGCAGAAGGAAACAACAAUGAAGAGAGGAAAAGAAAAUGCCUGUGGAUUCAGAGAACAUCUUAAAGUGCACCAGAUGAACAGCCUUGACAAAUAUCGACCGGACUACUGACCUGCAGAAAAUCAUUUUAUGUGAGAGAUAUUCAAAGAUGAGAAUGUUCUUCGCAUCACUUUCAGUCAAUGAUUCAGAAUGAGACUGGAAUACAAAACACCAAUAUUUUUGAGUUCAUAACUUGAUGACUAUAACUGUACUGUGUACAUAUUUAAACAUAUUAAGAUUUAAUAUUGUGUACACAGGAUUAUAUAUGUGUCAUAUGAUAGCAAUACGAUCAAUUAGUGCUAAAGUAGUAACACUGAAAUCAAAAGUUUGAACUGUUUUGCACUAUUUGAACUGUAGCUGUACAUAGUUCUCAUUUCUAGUAUAAAGAGCAUUGAGAACAAUGACUGUAAAGCAGUAGUUGUUCCAGAAAUGCCAGGUCACUCUUUUCCAUGUGAUCAUACAGUGAGACUGGAGAUUUCCUAAAGCUUCAUGGUUUGGUUUGUAGACAAACUGUCUAGAUUUUAACUCCUGUGACUUCAGGCACUUUAUUCUGGCAUGCAGAAGAUGAUUAUUCUUCUUUAAACGUGUCAUUACUUUACUUGUAUUUUCUGUUAAGGAGGUGUUUUUAUCUGAAGCAUCUAGUACCUGGUGUCGAGUGUCGAGUUCAGGUGCACAUUGAUCUCUGUUUAUGAAUUGCAUGAAGCAAACGAUCACAGGGGAUUGAGUUUCUGUAUUAUUUUGAGUCUGUUCACUUUGUGAAAGAUUAUGAAAGUGUCCAAGUGUACAUUACACUGUCCUUAUUCCUGAACAGGUGUUUGUUUUCAGUCAUUAUGAUGACUAUCCAAAUCUGUCCAAGUGUCUGUUGCUUUGCAUUCCACAAUAAAUAUUUCACUUCAGCCA